UACGAAGGGGCUAGCGUUGCUCGGAAUCACUGGGCGUAAAGGGCGCGUAGGCGGGCUCUUAAGUCAGGGGUGAAAGCCCAAGGCUCAACCUUGGAAUUGCCUUUGAUACUGAGGGCCUUGAGACCGGAAGAGGUCGGCGGAACUGCGAGUGUAGAGGUGAAAUUCGUAGAUAUUCGCAAGAACACCAGUGGCGAAGGCGGCAUCCUGGACCAAUUCUGACGCUG
rnacentral:rRNA from 1 species